rnacentral:rRNA from 1 species
CCUGACUAGCCAGCGACGGGUACGGGGNGUGAGAGCACUUNCCCGGAGAUGGUUUNUGAGACACGAAACCAGGCCCUACGGGGCGCAGCAGGCGCGAAAACUUCGCAAUGCGGGAAACCGUGACGAGGGAACUCCAAGUGUCUAUGCAAUGCAUAGACUGUUUUUCAGCNUAAAUCGCUGUUAGAGUAAGGGGUGGGUAAGACCGGUGCCAGCCGCCGCGGUAACACCGGCACCCCGAGUGGUAGCCNCUAUUAUUGGGCCUAAAGCGUUCGUAGCCGGUUUGGUAAAUUCUUGGGUAAAUCGUACCGCUUAACGGUGCGGAUUCCGGGGACACUACCAGACUUGAGACUGGGGGAGAUCAGAGGUACUUGCGGGGGAGCGGUGAAAUGUUGUAAUCCCGCAGGGACCACCAGUGGCGAAGGCGUCUGAUCAGAACGGUUCUGACGGUGAGGAACGAAACCCUGGGGCGCAAACGGGAUUAGAUACCCCGGUAGUCCAGGGCGUAAACGCUGCUGACUUGGUGUUGGAGAUCCUACGAGGGUGUCCAGUGCUGGCGCGAAGGUAUUAAGUCAGCCGCCUGGGGAGUACGGUCGCAAGACUGAAACUUAAAGGAAUUGGCGGGGGAGCACUGCAACGUGUGGAGCGUGCGGUUUAAUUGGAUUCAACGCCGGAAAACUCACCGGGGGCGACGGUUACAUGAAGGCCAAGCUGAUGACUUUGCCUGAUUUUCCGAGAGGUGGUGCAUGGCCGCCGUCAGUUCGUACCGUAAGGCGUUCUGUUAAGUCAGAUAACGAACGAGACCUCCGUCACCAUUUGCUAUUCUCUUCUCCGGAAGGGGAGCACUAUGGUGGUACCGCCGCUGUUAAAGCGGAGGAAGGAGGGGGCAACGGUAGGUCAGUAUGCCCCGAAUCUCCCGGGCUACACGCGCGCUACAAAGGUUGGGACAAUGGGCUUCAACACCGAAAGGUGAAGGCAAUCCCGAAACCUAAUCGUAAUUCGGAUUGAGGGCUGCAAUUCGCCCUCAUGAAGCUGGAAUACGUAGUAAUCGCGGGUCAACAUCCCGCGGUGAAUAUGCCCCUGCUCCUUGCACACACCGCCCGUCAAACCACCUUANUUGGGUCUGGACGAGGGUUUGUCUUCUGACACGCUCGAAUCUGGGU